rnacentral:misc_RNA from 1 species
GGCUAAUUUGUAUGAUCUAAUUUGAGUAUGAUACAUUUAAAUUGACUUGAUCUAAUAAAAAAUAAUUACUAAUCAAUUUGUUUAUUGUGUGAGAAAAUUCAAUAUUGGGAUGAUGAGCUCAUUUUUUUCAUUAUGCAAGUCUUUUUUCUCCUAAAAGCAAUUUCUUUAUCAACUUUAAGCUAAAGCAGAUUUAUUAAAGAGAAAAAGAAAAACUUUAGGACCAUUAUUUUGUCUUUAUGUUUGUCGGUAAAUUCCUCUCUCUUCCUCCAUCUAUUCAUCAAAAUUUCUUUCUGCGCAGCACCAUUCUUCUGUUUAUCAAAGCAUUGUUUUCUACUCCCUCCCUGCCUGGUUCUUCAUAUUCUCCUUCGUCUCAACUCCAUUAGUCACUUUCAUAUACCUUCCAAGCUAACAAGAGCAA